rnacentral:rRNA from 1 species
CCUACGGGCGGCAGCAGUGGGGAAUCUUGCACAAUGGGGGAAAGCCUGAUGCAGCGACGCCGCGUGAAGGAAGAAGGAUUUCGGUAUGUAAACUUCUAUCAGCAGAGAAGAAAAUGCCGGUACCUGACUGAGCAGCCCCGGCGAACUACGUGCCAGCAGCCGAGGUAAUACGUAGGGGGCAAGCGUUAUCCGGAUUGACUGGGUGUAAAGGGAGCGGGGGCGGUGAUGCAAGUCAGAAGUGAAAGCCCGCAGCUCAACUGCGGGAGUGCUUUUGAAACUGUAUGACUAGAUUGCAGGAGAGGUGAGUGGAAUUCCUAGUGUAGCGGUGAAAUGCGUAGAUAUAUGGAGGAACACCAGUGGCGAAGGCGGCUUACUGGACUGUAAAUGACGCUGAGGUUCGAAAGCGUGGGGAGCAAACAGGAUUAGAUACCCUUGUAGUC